GCUGCCACUCACCAUGUGUACACCAACUGCCAGCACAUCAGGUGAAAUCCAGACCUCAUAAAAAUUAAUCAGUGCUGAAGACCCGAGUCCAACCACAAGCAGAGCCAAGGGCUGUGGCAGCACGUGUGUGAAGUGGUCACGGCUGCUGUCUGAGCCGUGUGCUUGAUGGGGACCCGCCUUCAUGCCAGUCCAAGGGUGACUUCUGCCCAUUGCCUUUCUGUGUUACCUCUUGCUGCAUUCAUCACUUGGCUGGCUGUGACCAGAGCAGCAAGCAAAACUCUCCAUCAUUUGAACAGUGUCAGAGUGAUUCCUGCAACCCCCCAGUGGUUGGUCUGGUAUUUCAAGCUGUGGAAAACCACUGCAGCAAUUCAGGUCCGUUUCAAACCAACUGUGAGUCUGCGCCUGAGGCUGAUUUUCCCACCACGUUCCUGACUUCAUAUGCCUUGUCAUGGGCUAAAGUUGGUAUUAAAGGAGCUGUGAGGAAUGGGUGAUA